CUAUGCCGCCUGCAUCGUUCUUGGGAUUAAGUUUUUACAUGAAUAUCGCAUUGUCCACCGAGAUUUAAAGCCUGCAAAUAUUGUCCUAGACAGUGAUGGAUAUGCCAAAAUUGCAGAUUUUGGGUUGUGCAAAGCAGGUAUUGGCUACAGAGAUGAAAUGACCUAUCCAUGUGGAACGGAGUGUUACUGGGCUCCAGAAAUGUUUGCAGAAAGAAACUACAGGAGAAGCGUGGACUGGUGGGCUUUAGGCAUAAUCAUCUAUAAAAUGGCCGUUGGCUAUGUGAGUAUAAAGCCGUCACUAAUAAUCCCAUUAGGUUCUACAAUGCUGUCUAUUUACUUUAUUCUAUUGAAGAGACUCAAAUUGUAAAGAUCUCACUCUGCUCCAUAACCCGCCCAGACCCGC